CCUCCUGUCAGGAGCGCCAGGCCGGACCGGUUCCCCGCCCCUCUCCCCGCCGCCUCCGCGGCCCGGGGCGUCCUCCAGCCCCGGGCUAUGGCCGGCUGGGCCCGGGCUGCCCACUCGGGUCCCCCCGGUGGCUGCCGACCACCGCCCGGCCGGGACCGGGAACUGGAGCCGAAGUGAGCGGGAGGCCGGCCCCGGCGCGAGUCAGGCUGGGAAGGAGGCCCCGCGCGUCAGGAUGAAAGGCUGGGAGGGCCGCGGCUGCCCGGAGACCCCCGGGCCGACUCGGCAGGGUGGGCGGGCGGCCCCCGUCAGCGCUGGCCUACACCGGAGCCGGGACAAAGGAGGGAGCCCCCUGGCUGGGGAGAAGUCGAACUGGGCCUGUGCGGCUCCUGAAGGAUCUAGAGAAACCCUAGAGGGACAGCAGAGAGCAAAAGACCAAGAUGCCUCAGAUCCCAGGGCCAGACAAGGCCGGAACCAGGACAAGGGCAAGAUCCAGACAGGCCUGCAGUGUGAGGCCAAAGGGAACACUGCGCCCACAAAGAAUCCCAGGAACAAAGGGUUGUCCAGAAGCAGAAGAAACUGAACUGGAAGUGAGGGGGGCAGACCCACAUCAUGAAGUAAGCCAGGCCAAGGGGCAGAGCCUGAGAAAUGACAACUCAAGGAGGAAUGGAGGCAGGAUUCUGACUGCACCAUGGGGUGAAUAAGAGGAGACAGGAGGACAUAAAUCCGGGGGGUGGGAGGGUAGACCCAACAGGAUUACUAAACUGUGACAGUCUUCCGAACAGAGACUUAGAUCAAAAGGGAGAAAUGUGGGAACCUGAGACAAAGAAAGGAUUUGGGGGCAUAACUGGUCAGGGCAGAGAGAAGGAAACCAAUUAUUCUCCCAUCAGAGGAAGGAAAAGGGUAAAGAAAGGAAACUGAUAAAUAUGGGUAGGGAUUUAUUUUGGACCAUUUUGAGGAAGGAGGUCCCAAUAUCAUCCGUUCCUCCACUCAAUUGUGCAUCAUUCAAUCCCAGUAUUCCUGGAGUGUGCUGGGGCCAAGAGCAAGCAAUGAAUGAGGAACUCAGGCCCAUUCAGUGAUAAUGUUUCCAGUGUUAACUUGAUUUUUUGCAGAGAUGAAGAGGUGGUUGCAGUAAGAAGCUAGGCUGGGCCAGGUAGGGCGCACACACCUAUCUCCUGAGGCAGGAAGAUUGCAAUUUCUCCGCAACUUUGCAAGCCCCUCUGCAAUUUAGCAAGACCCUGUCUCAAAACGAAAAUAAAAAGGACUGGGGAUGUAGCUCAGUGGUAAAGCUCCCCUGGGUUCAACCCCAGUACAAAAAAAAUAAAUAAAAAAGUUGGUUAACAUCACAAGGGUACAUGAGCAAGUGAGAAAAUUCAUGCAGCACUGAGCAGCCAAAAUUGGGACUUGGACUUCCAUCUCAGUUCCCAUUCUCAAGAUUUUGAAAGAGGAGCUUCUUACCUCCAGGGCAGGGAUAGUAUCUUUGAACUUUGGAGGAAUGCCAAAUAUUUGGUCAAUCAGUGCUCAGCACAUUAAGAAAAAGAAAUGAUGCUUUUCACAAAUAGGUUUCCACAUCACAUCAUGAUCAGAUAUUGGAUGAACAAGUCAUUAAUCAUAUCUUUCUCCAUCAAGUUCUGGGUGUGGCGAUCAUACAGGGAAGGGCCUGAAGGAGGACAGGACUUCACCUUAGACAAAUGCUCAUUUACUUCCAAUUUAAUUUGGGGUGCUUAAAAAAAAAAGGCAAGCUAGUUCACAGUUUGGUGUCAGCUGCUAAUGAGCUCAGUCUACUAAAAGAAAGGGAAUAAGUUUGAGGUAUGCUAUUUUUAGAUAAAUAAAGACUUUUAGUGGAAAAUUCACAAUGAAGGAGUUGGUAAUUAAUGGGACAGCACUUUUUUCAUAAAUAGAGGAUAUAGAAAUGCUAACUCUGGGGAUCUUGACUGUAUCAGUGCUGAGUCACUGCAUUUCCUAUAUUACUUUAUACCAGUAGGACUAAGAAGGCCCAGACACAAAUAUACAUAUACACGCCUCCACCAUCACCCCCUACAGACAUCUGCAUCCUCAUUUUCACUGCAGCAAAUAGAAAAGCUUCUCCAUCCCCUCCAGGGGCUGCUACAAGAACUGUGACUGAUGCCUACCAAACAUGAGGAAAAAACAGAGUCAAGAAUGAAGAGUCUACUCCAAGAAUCAGGCUGUGCUGAAGGCCUGAGGGGUUGCGGGGUAGAGGCAAGGGGGAUGAAAUUCCAAUUAAGAAACUGGGUGUGGUGAUUCAUACCUGUAAUCCCAGCAAUUUGGGAGGCUGAAACAGGAGGAUUACAAACUUGAGGCCAGCCUGAGCAAUUUAGGGAGACCAAAUCUCAAAAUAUAAAGAACUGGGGAUGGGGGCUCAGUGGUAGAAUGUCUGCCUAGCAUGCAUGAGGCCCUGGGUUCAAUCCCCUACCACUAAAUAAAUAAAUAACACGGUAGAAAGUUCUAGUUUGGGUUGUGUGGCUGAAGCACUUCUGUUAGACUCAAGUUCCUUUCUUAGCCAGGCAUGGUGGAAAUCCCAGUGACUUGAGAUGCUGAAGAAGGAGGAUCGAAAAUUCAAGGCCAGCCUCAUCAUACAGCAAGACCCUGCCCCCAAAUAAAUAAAUAAAUAUAAGAACGGAGAUCUAGCUUAGUAGUAAAGCACCCUAGGUUCAAUCCCCAAUACAAAAAAAAAAGUUGCUUUCUUGACAAAAUUUGCAUUUAAAUACUCCCAAGAGAGUUUGAAGUAACACAUUCUUCUAAUGAAUGGAAAGGGGGAAGUCCACAUGUUUGGCUGAUGUUCCUGUUUUAUACAGAGAAAAUUUUACAAGGCUGGAGGAACAAAGCGACUGCUGGGGCGGGGGAUGGGAAGAGGAAGCCUACAAAAGGGAGGUUUUUGGUUUUUUUCAAGCAAGAGUCUAAAUUUAUAGCCAGACCACACAAUCAGGAAAGCUCUGAGGCUUUCUCCUUUUGGCCUGUGAUUUUCCUUUGCUUCUGGUGAGUGAGCUGGCUGCUGAAUUUCUGAGGAGGGUGCAAUAGAGGAAGCAGGAUGUACUCAGGAGGGCAUCUACUGGGAGAGAAGGGUAAUACAAGGAAAUAAAGUCCUUUUUUCCUUGAAGUCCUCCCCUUCCUAUCAAAUGCACUUCUUAAGUCCUGCCACUUAACUUCUUUCAGCUCCUCAUUUGUGCUCUCUCACCUCAGGGCCUUCCCA
rnacentral:lncRNA from 1 species